AACGAACGCUGGCGGCGCGCCUAACACAUGCAAGUCGAACGAGGUACUUGUUUUCGGAUGAGCUACCUAGUGGCGGACGGGUGAGUAACGCGUGGGAACCUGCCCUUUGCUCUGGAACAACCACGGGAAACUGUGGCUAAUACCGGAUAAUGCCCUUCGGGGCCAAAGAUUUAUCGGCGAAGGAGGGGCCCGCGUUAGAUUAGCUAGUUGGUGGGUAACGCCUACCAAGGCUCUGAUCUAUAGCUGGUCUGAGAGGACGAUCAGCCACACUGGGACUGAGACACGGCCCAGACUCCUACGGGAGGCAGCAGUGGGAAUCUUGGACAAUGGGGGAAACCCUGAUCCAGCGACGCCGCGUGGGUGAUGAAGGCCUUAGGGUU
rnacentral:rRNA from 1 species